UAACGCGUGAGGAACCUGCCUUGAAGAGGGGGACAACAGUUGGAAACGACUGCUAAUACCGCAUGACGCAUAGAGGUCGCAUGAUCUUUAUGCCAAAGAUUUAUCGCUUCAAGAUGGCCUCGCGUCUGAUUAGCUAGUUGGCGGGGUAACGGCCCACCAAGGCGACGAUCAGUAGCCGGACUGAGAGGUUGAACGGCCACAUUGGGACUGAGAUACGGCCCAG
rnacentral:rRNA from 1 species